UGGCUGUAGCGAAAUAAAUCGAUCGAUAGAUCGAAGAAGUUUACUGGCCGGUUGUUGUGAGAUUUCAUCUCUGUCGACAGAUCUGCUUACCGAACUUCUUACAUUC